GGUUAAGCGACUAAGCGUACACGGUGGAUGCCCUGGCAGUCAGAGGCGAUGAAGGACGUGCUAAUCUGCGAAAAGCGCCGGCGAGGUGAUAUGAACCUUUGACCCGGCGAUGUCCGAAUGGGGAAACCCAGUGCAAUCCGUUGCACUAUCGUUAACUGAAUACAUAGGUUAACGAGGCGAACCGGGGGAACUGAAACAUCUAAGUACCCCGAGGAAAAGAAAUCAACCGAGAUUCCCCCAGUAGCGGCGAGCGAACGGGGAGCAGCCCGGAGUCUGAAUCAGCUUGUGUGUUAGUGGAACGGUCUGGAAAGUCCGACGGUACAGGGUGAUAGUCCCGUACACGAAAGCACACAUGCUGUGAACUCGAAGAGUAGGGCGGGACACGUGGUAUCCUGUCUGAAUAUGGGGGGACCAUCCUCCAAGGCUAAAUACUCCUGACUGACCGAUAGUGAACCAGUACCGUGAGGGAAAGGCGAAAAGAACCCCGGCGAGGGGAGUGAAAAAGAACCUGAAACCGUGUACGUACAAGCAGUGGGAGCCUCUUUAUGGGGUGACUGCGUACCUUUUGUAUAAUGGGUCAGCGACUUAUAUUCUGUAGCAAGGUUAACCGUAUAGGGGAGCCGAAGGGAAACCGAGUCUUAACUGGGCGUUAAGUUGCAGGGUAUAGACCCGAAACCCGGUGAUCUAGCCAUGGGCAGGUUGAAGGUUGGGUAACACUAACUGGAGGACCGAACCGACUAAUGUUGAAAAAUUAGCGGAUGACCUGUGGCUGGGGGUGAAAGGCCAAUCAAACCGGGAGAUAGCUGGUUCUCCCCGAAAGCUAUUUAGGUAGCGCCUCGUGAACUCAUCUUCGGGGGUAGAGCACUGUUUCGGCUAGGGGGCCAUCCCGGCUUACCAACCCGAUGCAAACUACGAAUACCGAAGAAUGUUAUCACGGGAGACACACGGCGGGUGCUAACGUCCGUCGUGAAGAGGGAAACAACCCAGACCGCCAGCUAAGGUCCCAAAGUCAUGGUUAAGUGGGAAACGAUGUGGGAAGGCACAGACAGCCAGGAUGUUGGCUUAGAAGCAGCCAUCAUUUAAAGAAAGCGUAAUAGCUCACUGGUCGAGUCGGCCUGCGCGGAAGAUGUAACGGGGCUAAACCAUGCACCGAAGCUGCGGCAGCGACACUAUGUGUUGUUGGGUAGGGGAGCGUUCUGUAAGCCGUUGAAGGUGUGCUGUGAGGCAUGCUGGAGGUAUCAGAAGUGCGAAUGCUGACAUAAGUAACGAUAAAGCGGGUGAAAAGCCCGCUCGCCGGAAGACCAAGGGUUCCUGUCCAACGUUAAUCGGGGCAGGGUGAGUCGACCCCUAAGGCGAGGCCGAAAGGCGUAGUCGAUGGGAAACAGGUUAAUAUUCCUGUACUUGGUGUUACUGCGAAGGGGGGACGGAGAAGGCUAUGUCAGCCGGGCGACGGUUGUCCCGGUUUAAGCAUGUAGGCGGAGGUUCCAGGUAAAUCCGGUACCUUUUAACGCUGAGGUGUGAUGACGAGGCACUACGGUGCUGAAGUGAUAAAUGCCCUGCUUCCAGGAAAAGCCUCUAAGCAUCAGGUAACACGAAAUCGUACCCCAAACCGACACAGGUGGUCAGGUAGAGAAUACCAAGGCGCUUGAGAGAACUCGGGUGAAGGAACUAGGCAAAAUGGUGCCGUAACUUCGGGAGAAGGCACGCUGAUGUGUAGGUGAAGCCCCUGCGGGUGGAGCUGAAAUCAGUCGAAGAUACCAGCUGGCUGCAACUGUUUAUUAAAAACACAGCACUGUGCAAACACGAAAGUGGACGUAUACGGUGUGACGCCUGCCCGGUGCCGGAAGGUUAAUUGAUGGGGUUAGCGGCAACGCGAAGCUCUUGAUCGAAGCCCCGGUAAACGGCGGCCGUAACUAUAACGGUCCUAAGGUAGCGAAAUUCCUUGUCGGGUAAGUUCCGACCUGCACGAAUGGCGUAAUGAUGGCCAGGCUGUCUCCACCCGAGACUCAGUGAAAUUGAACUCGCUGUGAAGAUGCAGUGUACCCGCGGCAAGACGGAAAGACCCCGUGAACCUUUACUAUAGCUUGACACUGAACACUGGUCCUUGAUGUGUAGGAUAGGUGGGAGGCUUUGAAGCGUGGACGCCAGUCUGCGUGGAGCCAACCUUGAAAUACCACCCUUUAAUGGCUGGUGUUCUAACGUAGACCCGUAAUCCGGGUUGCGGACAGUGUCUGGUGGGUAGUUUGACUGGGGCGGUCUCCUCCCAAAGAGUAACGGAGGAGCACGAAGGUUGGCUAAUCCUGGUCGGACAUCAGGAGGUUAGUGCAAUGGCAUAAGCCAGCUUGACUGCGAGCGUGACGGCGCGAGCAGGUGCGAAAGCAGGUCAUAGUGAUCCGGUGGUUCUGAAUGGAAGGGCCAUCGCUCAACGGAUAAAAGGUACUCCGGGGAUAACAGGCUGAUACCGCCCAAGAGUUCAUAUCGACGGCGGUGUUUGGCACCUCGAUGUCGGCUCAUCACAUCCUGGGGCUGAAGUAGGUCCCAAGGGUAUGGCUGUUCGCCAUUUAAAGUGGUACGCGAGCUGGGUUUAGAACGUCGUGAGACAGUUCGGUCCCUAUCUGCCGUGGGCGCUGGAGAAUUGAGGGGGGCUGCUCCUAGUACGAGAGGACCGGAGUGGACGCAUCACUGGUGUUCGGGUUGUCAUGCCAAUGGCACUGCCCGGUAGCUAAAUGCGGAAGAGAUAAGUGCUGAAAGCAUCUAAGCACGAAACUUGCCCCGAGAUGAGUUCUCCCUGAGACUUUAAGUCUCCUGAAGGAACGUUGAAGACGACGACGUUGAUAGGUCGGGUGUGUAAGCGCAGCGAUGCGUUGAGCUAACCGAUACUAAUGAACCGUGAGGCUUAACCUU
rnacentral:rRNA from 1 species